AUGUACAUUCCUACAACAUAACAUUAAUGCACUGGAUCCCAUUAGAACUCUGCAAUUAAGCGUGCUCAGGCUAGAGUAGUAUUGGGAUGUGUGACCAUCCAGGAAGUCCUACUAUUUUACAUG
rfam:Picea glauca, whole genome shotgun sequence.